CUAAAGUUGGGAGGCCUAGUAGGUUGUCUAGCCUACCCCUUGCUUACAUAUGGUUGUGACCCACAGUAUAUUUUCCUAGUGCAUUGUCCAGUCCACUUGUAAAACCCCAAGUCAUAAGAAUUCACAUAUCCUGGAAAGAGACUAUUUUCCUAUCUACUUUCCCUGUGAAAAAGGUUGUGGGUUGGUUUUGUUUUGUUUUUUUUCUUGAUAGCUAAAGCUUUCUUUACCACAUCCUCACCCCAUUACUUUGCAUGGUCUCAUGCUCAAGUUUCCUGCAUUGCCCAAAACGUGGAAGUAGGCAUCUUACCUCCUUCCCAGAUGCCAUGUGCUCCUACUAAAAAAAUGCCUAUUUAGCUUCCUGAUCAGUGCAGUGCUGUGAUCACUUCAUGCACAACAGCUUGCUGAAUUGAAGGCUUAUUUACUGCUCAUAAAUACAUCUUAUCCUCUGCUAGCCCCACUCCCAAAGAGCAUUACCUUAUGCUACUGUUUUCUAGGAAGAGAAUAAAACAAAAUCCUGUUACAUUACAGAAAUGGGAAAAUCCCAUUCUGUUUCCAAGGUAGAGAAAAUGCUCAUAAAUAUGGAGUGAAGUUGUCAGUUCACGAAUGCCCAUGCCCAAUUUCCCACUGGUUUCAGUGUGGCCAGACUGUUUCAGUUCUUUGUGUUCUGUAAAAAUGCAACAUGAUACUUAAACUGAAAGACUUACUCUCAUUGUUUUUGCGUGCAUGGUGGUGGUAGUGCCUGACAUGUCCAGUCAUGGACCAAGACCUCGUUGUGCCAGGCCUUGCACAAGUACAAAGCAGAAAAGAACCGAUCUCUGUGCCUAUUGAGGAUGCUUCUCCAUUUCCUCCUCCUCUUAUUUUUACGUUAUACAGAUUCAGACAACACCCUGGAUCCAACACCUCAAGGGAGUUUGAACUUCAGUUGUCCAGCAAGUUUUGUCUCUGGCUUUUUUCCCCCCUAACUACAAAACUGGGAACUCUGGAGAAAUGUGGAUGCAGGUCAGAGCUUUGUGAUAGAGAUCUGAGAGUCAGCAAACUGAUGAUGUGCUGUAUUUUUUUUUUUUAAGUUUGACCCUAUAUUUUUUUAACUUGCUGGCCAGGCAGCGAUUUGGAAAGGUUAGAAGUGAUCGCCCAGAAUAGUUUGGUAGGCCAACUGCGGGUGGAACAGUGCAGUGUACUACAGAUCCCCAUGUGGUAAUGCUCUGCAAUAGAGAGCAGUGUAGCUAGGUAAGGGUAUAAAAACUGUGUCUUUCUAGGCCAGGUGAGGUUCACUGGGUAGAUGCGAUAUCUUUUAUUAAACCAACUAAAUAGUUGGAAAGAAGUUCUUUGCAAGCUUUCGGGCAUCCUGACAAAGGGUGUUUGUGCCUGAAAGCUUGCAAAGAACUUCUUUCCAACUAUUUAGUUGGUUUAAUAAAAGAUAACGUAUCUACCCA
rnacentral:lncRNA from 1 species